rnacentral:rRNA from 1 species
CCUACGGGAGGCAGCAGUGGGGAAUAUUGCACAAUGGGCGCAAGCCUGAUGCAGCCAUGCCGCGUGUAUGAAGAAGGCCUUCGGGUUGUAAAGCUCUUUCACCGGUGAAGAUAAUGACGGUAACCGGAGAAGAAGCCCCGGCUAACUUCGUGCCAGCAGCCGCGGUAAUACGAAGGGGGCUAGCGUUGUUCGGAAUUACUGGGCGUAAAGCGCGCGUAGGCGGAUAGAUAAGUCAGAGGUGAAAUCCCGGGGCUCAACCCCGGAAUUGCCUUUGAUACUGUUUAUCUUGAGUGCAGAAGAGGUAAGUGGAAUUCCGAGUGUAGAGGUGAAAUUCGUAGAUAUUCGGAGGAACACCAGUGGCGAAGGCGGCUUACUGGUCUGCAACUGACGCUGAGGCGCGAAAGCGUGGGGAGCAAACAGGAUUAGAUACCCCAGUAGUC